rnacentral:rRNA from 1 species
GUGGGGAAUUUUGCGCAAUGGGCGAAAGCCUGACGCAGCAACGCCGCGUGUGUGAUGAAGGUCUUUGGAUUGUAAAGCACUUUCGACCGGGACGAAAACCCGAAGCCCAAUACGCUUCGGCUUGACGGUACCGGGAGAAGAAGCACCGGCUAACUCUGUGCCAGCAGCCGCGGUAAUACAGAGGGUGCAAGCGUUGUUCGGAAUUAUUGGGCGUAAAGCGCGCGUAGGCGGCUUUGCAAGUCGGGUGUGAAAGCCCUCAGCUCAACUGAGGAAGUGCGCCCGAAACUGCAGAGCUUGAGUGCCGGAGAGGGUGGCGGAAUUCCCCAAGUAGAGGUGAAAUUCGUAGAUAUGGGGAGGAACACCGGUGGCGAAGGCGGCCACCUGGACGGUCACUGACGCUGAGGCGCGAAAGCGUGGGUAGCAAACAGGAUUAGAUACCCUGGUAGUCC